UACGAAGGGGGCUAGCGCUGUUCGGAAUCACUGGGCGUAAAGCGCACGUAGGCGGAUUGUUAAGUCGGGGGUGAAAUCCUGAGGCUCAACCUCAGAACUGCCUUCGAUACUGGCGAUCUUGAGUCCGGAAGAGGUUGGUGGAACAGCUAGUGUAGAGGUGAAAUUCGUAGAUAUUAGCUAGAACACCAGUGGCGAAGGCGGCCAACUGGUCCGGAACUGACGCUGAGGUGCGAAAGCGUGGGGAGCAAACAGG
rnacentral:rRNA from 1 species